GUGGUCGCUGCCCCUUCGCCCUCCCGGACCGUCACUUCCAGGAACCUUCAACUCUGCCUGCAAAGGACGUGGAGGCGGCCUGGUCUGAGCUUACACUCUAGCUGCUGCUAACUCCUGCCAGCCUUCAUUCCACGACAAAGUUUCCAGUGUCUGCCCCUCCCCGUCCGGCCCGACCGCUGGCUGCUCCACCCAAGCCUGGAGUAGAUUGUGGCCGGACUGCCAUUAUCAGCCUCCCGGAGGGUCUCCCUGUCUCCAGGCUCACCCCUGCAACCUAUGCCAUACAAGGCCACGCAAGUCAUCUCCUGGGAGCAUCUCUCUGCUCAUAUCUCCCCUCUCUCAAAUCCUUCCCUCAGCUCCCCGUUUCCCUCCUCACCGAAUAAGAACACCUCCCGAUUGGCUCCAA